UCUGGAUUAGUCGGAUCUUCACUAUUUUUAUGAACUGUAACAUUCAUUGAGUGCUUCCCACAGCCAGGCUUUGUGCUGAGCCCCUAACCUGCUCUAUCUCCUGGAAUCUUCAUCACAACAGCCCUUUGAGAUGGCCACUGUUUAUUGGACCCAUUUUAUAGGCGGGGAAACGAAGGUCUGGAGAUGUCCCUGAUCACACAGGGAGGGAGGAAAAGAACAGGACUUUGAAGCCAGGACUUGCUUUGCAGAAAACACGUGUGGAAGGGGAGCAAAGAGGGAGGAAGUGAAGCCCCUUCCUGGGUGUGGGAGCCACCUGAUCCCCCCAGUGUGUCUGGCCCCCAGUCCCCAAGGGCAGGCCGACCGGGAGAGUGUGUGUUCCCUGUGGAAGCCUCUAGGAGGACGCGUUUCCAUCUACUGCCUCUGUCGCCAGCUGUCCGAGAGGACAUCACAGGGGCAGGACAUUUCUGGGAUGCUGGAGCACUGAGGGGUGGCCAGAAUGCUGGGCCUUCCCUAGUAGCCACCUCACAUUUCUCACUCUGCUAGGAGGAGCGAUAAAGUCGUUUUUCCAUUAACUAUUUUGAAAGCUCUUAUUUUUGGUAUAGUGGGGGCUCCCCUCCACUUUCUUUGGAGAUGCAGUUUGAGAGUAAUGGUUGAGAGCACUCGUUUUGUGGAUUUGAAUCCACAGCAGCUUGUUAGUUAUGUGGCUUUGGACAAGCUGCUUAACUUCUCUGGGCCUCAGUUUCCUCAUCUGUUAAAUGGUGAUAAUAUCAGCACCCGCCUCGUAGGAUUGUGACGAUCAAGUGAGAUAAUGCAAUGAACUUAGUACCUGGCCUGCUGUAAAUGUUCAAGAAAGGGUCAUUAUUAUUGUUCUUUAAUGGUGUAAAGAGACAAUUUGGUCUAGGCAGAUGGGGGCUCAAGUUUCUGGUUUCCCAGAAGGCCGCCAGCAUCCUCGGUGCCCAGGUGAGAUUGAAAGUGCUGUAGAAAUGGCAGGGCCAGGGCAAAGUCAUGCUUCAAUCUGAAUGUUUCCAGCAAGUUGAAAAGCUGAAGAGAUGGCCAUUUGAAAGUUGCUACAGACCACAGGAGCAACCGAAGAGAAAACUUUCCUUUCCAAAUCUGGAUGCCUACAACCCAUACAAAAAAGAUAUUUUGGGCAUCCCAUGUUUAUUUCUACCCAUGUCCUUUUUAGGCAUAGGGCUUCCAGAACCAAGAACUGUGCUAAGGACAAAUGAAGAGGAAAGGUUAUUUUUCAUUCCUAGGCAAUAUGCAUAUAGAGUUUAUCAACAUGAUCACAACCUUUUGCGGAGCUGAACUUCUAAUGGGAAACAGGGAAAAAAUAGCGGCUAAAUAACUUGCCUGAGAUCACAGAGCUGGUGAGUUAUAACGGCUGGGGUUUGAACCCAGGCGGUCUGGCUCGAGAACGGGAGGCACCACUUGAUCAUGCUGAUAAUAUGAGUUUCCUUCAGAAAUGUGGGACAGUUUAGCAAAUCUGAAAAUUGUGUGGACACACACACAAGCUCCUGCUGCUGGAGAAGAGAGGGGAUGCAUG
rnacentral:lncRNA from 1 species